AAAGUACUCCCUCCGUCCCAAAAUUCUUGUCUUAGAUUUGUCUACAUACGGAUGUAUCAAGUCACAUUUUAGUAUUAGAUACAUCCGUAUCUAGACAAAUCUAAGACAAGAAAUUUGGGACAGAGGGAGUAGUUC
rnacentral:pre_miRNA from 1 species